AUGGAGGCCAACAAGCCUAGCUACUAUCUCUUCGUCUUCGUCUUCGCGGCGCUCCUCUUGUCCUCUAUGGCUGGAGCGCAGAGGAAGCUGCUGAUGAAUGAAGAUGAUGCAGGAUCGACGAUGCAGCAGGAAGACGACGAGGUGUUGGUGGUGGUGCACGGCGGGAGAAUCCUCAGGCAGGUGAAGACGAACGACUACGGGACCUAUGACUCAACUCCGACCAUGGCCAAGCCUCACUUCAAGGACAUACCUAACUAA
rnacentral:rRNA from 1 species